rnacentral:rRNA from 1 species
AGUGAACGCUGGCGGCAGGCCUAACACAUGCAAGUCGAACGGCAGCACAGUAAGAGCUUGCUCUUACGGGUGGCGAGUGGCGGACGGGUGAGGAAUACAUCGGAAUCUACUUUUUCGUGGGGGAUAACGUAGGGAAACUUACGCUAAUACCGCAUACGACCUACGGGUGAAAGCAGGGGAUCUUCGGACCUUGCGCGAAUGAAUGAGCCGAUGUCGGAUUAGCUAGUUGGCGGGGUAAAGGCCCACCAAGGCGACGAUACGUAGCUGGUCUGAGAGGAUGAUCAGCCACACUGGAACUGGGACACGGUCCAGACUCCUACGGGAGGCAGCAGUGGGGAAUAUUGGACAAUGGGCGCAAGCCUGAUCCAGCCAUACCGCGUGGGUGAAGAAGGCCUUCGGGUUGUAAAGCCCUUUUGUUGGGAAAGAAAAGCAGCAGGUUAAUACCCCGCUGUUCUGACGGUACCCAAAGAAUAAGCACCGGCUAACUACGUG